rnacentral:misc_RNA from 1 species
CUGUUCUAGUCAGUGUCCUUGACAAAGAUCUCAGUGAAAGAACCGUAAUGCAGCAUCCACAAAUACUGUUCUAUUGCCAAGCAGGAAGGCUUCUUAAUCCUAGCACAUUUGCUGGAUGGUUUGGCCGGUCUCUCUUUCACGCUAUUGUUGUCUUUGUCAUCACCAUACAUGCAUAUGCUUUUGAGAAAAGUGAGAUGGAAG